AGCUAGUUGGUGAGGUAACGGCCCACCAAGGCGACGAUCGGUAGCCGGACUGAGAGGUUGAACGGCCACAUUGGGACUGAGACACGGCCCAGACUCCUACGGGAGGCAGCAGUGGGGAAUAUUGCACAAUGGGGGAAACCCUGAUGCAGCGACGCCGCGUGGAGGAAGAAGGUCUUCGGAUUGUAAACUCCUGUUGUUGAGGAAGAUAAUGACGGUACUCAACAAGGAAGUGACGGCUAACUACGUGCCAGCAGCCGCGGUAAAACGUAGGUCACAAGCGUUGUCCGGAAUUACUGGGUGUAAAGGGAGCGCAGGCGGGAAGACAAGUUGGAAGUGAAAUCCAUGGGCUCAACCCAUGAACUGCUUUCAAAACUGUUUUUCUUGAGUAGUGCAGAGGUAGGCGGAAUUCCCGGUGUAGCGGUGGAAUGCGUAGAUAUCGGGAGGAACACCAGUGGCGAAGGCGGCCUACUGGGCACCAACUGACGCUGAGGCUCGAAAGUGUGGGUAGCAAACAGGGUUAGAUACCCUGGUAGUCCACACCGUAAACGAUGAUUACUAGGUGUUGGAGGAUUGACCCCUUCAGUGCCGCAGUUAACACAAUAAGUAAUCCACCUGGGGAGUACGACCGCAAGGUUGAAACUCAAAGGAAUUGACGGGGGCCCGCACAAGCAGUGGAGUAUGUGGUUUAAUUCGACGCAACGCGAAGAACCUUACCAAGUCUUGACAUCCUGCGACGGUUCUGGAAACAGAGCUUUCCUUCGGGACGCAGAGACAGGUGGUGCAUGGUUGUCGUCAGCUCGUGUCGUGAGAUGUUGGGUUAAGUCCCGCAACGAGCGCAACCCUUAUGGUCAGUUACUACGCAAGAGGACUCUGGCCAGACUGCCGUUGACAAAACGGAGGAAGGUGGGGAUGACGUCAAAUCAUCAUGCCCUUUAUGACUUGGGCUACACACGUACUACAAUGGCGUUAAACAAAGAGAAGCAAGACCGCGAGGUGGAGCAAAACUCAGAAACAACGUCCCAGUUCGGACUGCAGGCUGCAACUCGCCUGCACGAAGUCGGAAUUGCUAGUAAUCGUGGAUCAGCAUGCCACGGUGAAUGCGUUCCCGGGCCUUGUACACACCGCCCGUCACACCAUGAGAGCCGGGGGGACCCGAAGUCGGUAGUCUAACCGCAAGGAGGACGCCGCCGAAGGUAAAACUGGUGAUUGGGGUGAAGUCGUAACAAGGUAGCCGUAGGAGAACCUGCGGCUG
rnacentral:rRNA from 1 species